AGUGAACGCUGGCGGUAGGCCUAACACAUGCAAGUCGAACGGCAGCACAGUAAGAGCUUGCUCUUACGGGUGGCGAGUGGCGGACGGGUGAGGAAUACAUCGGAAUCUACUUUUUCGUGGGGGAUAACGUAGGGAAACUUACGCUAAUACCUCAUACGACCUACGGGUGAAAGCAGGGGAUCUUCGGACCUUGCGCGAUUGAAUUAGCCGAUGUCGGAUUAGCUAGUUGGCGGGGUAAAGGCCCACCAAGGCGACGAUCCGUAGCUGGUCUGAGAGGAUGAUCAGCCACACUGGAACUGAGACACGGUCCAGACUCCUACGGGAGGCAGCAGUGGGGAAUAUUGGACAAUGGGCGCAAGCCUGAUCCAGCCAUACCGCGUGGGUGAAGAAGGCCUUCGGGUUGUAAAGCCCUUUUGUUGGGAAAGAAAAGCAGCAGGUUAAUACCCCGCUGUUCUGACAGUACCCAAAGAAUAAGCACCGGCUAACUUCGUG
rnacentral:rRNA from 1 species